UUUCUGAAGAAAUGUCAGAAUCAGUGAGUAUGUAGUGGUUGUCUAUGAAGUUGUGUAUGGAAAGGUGAAUGGAUUUUCCGAAGAUGCGUUUCGCUAUUUUUCAAAGAAGAAACAAUUUUUCAUGUGAAUUAUUUUCUUCUUUUUUUCGUUUGAGAGAGAUCAUAAAGUGGAUGUUCUUAUUUUUGUUUCUUUUUUUUGUGUUGCUUUUUUUUUCAAAUUGAGAGAGAGAUGGAUCAUCCUUAUGGAA
rnacentral:lncRNA from 1 species